rnacentral:misc_RNA from 1 species
GAUCUGGGCGGUCUUUGUGU